rnacentral:tRNA from 1 species
ACCUGGCGCGGCAGGCGCUGGCGCUGCUGGACGAUUUCGAGUUGUCGAAGCGGCUGUCCGACUCCGCCGCUGAGCGC